rnacentral:lncRNA from 1 species
CCCCCCCCACCUGCCCCGGGGAUCGCGCAACUUCGCUCCUCCUGGGACUCGAAGAAGAUUCAACUCCUAGCCACCCCUCGCAUCCCUCUGCCCUUCAGCGUCUGCUCCCUGUUACACAGAACCCCCACCUCCCGCGUCUCCCACUCCGGACCCCGUGGAGGACAGGGGAGGGUCUCGUGAGGGGCCGAGGACACUCGGGAUCCGGGGACUGUGGCCCGACCAAGCGGAGGAACUGGGGUGGAGAAAAACCACCAGAUAAAUGCAGAGUUCCCCAAAUUACGGAUUCUUUCAUCCCAUCAAGAAAAGUCACAGGAACAAAACAGAAACAUAAUUAAAAUAUGUAUCUCCAUAAGGGGCCUCACAGUCAAAUAUUUGUGAAAAAAAACCUUUCCAUUUGGUUUUUUUCUCGAAGAGUUUUCCCAUAGCCAUGAUCCUGACUGCCUUCUCCUGGCCAGAGCAACCCCCCAGCACCCUGCGGUCUUAAAGAGAGCAGAGACCUGUCCUGCUGUCAGUGACCAUGACUCACAAUAACUCUACAUCCUGCUGUUUUAUCUGGUGUAGCUUCUUUCACAC